UACAGAGGUCUCAAGCGUUGUUCGGAUUCAUUGGGCAUAAAGGGCGCGUAGGCGGCUCCACAAGUCAGGGGUGAAAUCCGGCAGCUUAACUGUCGCAGUGCCUUUGAUACUGUGGAGCUAGAGGGAGGUAGGGGUCUGUGGAACUUCCGGUGGAGCGGUGAAAUGCGUUGAUAUCGGAAGGAACGCCGGUGGCGAAAGCGACGGACUGGAUCUCUUCUGACGCUGAGGCGCGAAAGCCAGGGGAGCAAACGGG
rnacentral:rRNA from 1 species